rnacentral:rRNA from 1 species
GAUGAACGCUGGCGGCGUGCCUAAUACAUGCAAGUCGAGCGAACAGGCGAGGAGCUUGCUCCUCUGACGUUAGCGGCGGACGGGUGAGUAACACGUGGAUAACCUACCUAUAAGACUGGGAUAACUUCGGGCAACCGGAGCUCAUACCGGAUAAUAUAUUGAACCGCAUGGUUCAAUAGUGAAAGGCGGUUUUGCUGUCACUUAUAGAUGGAUCCGCGCCGCAUUAGCUAGUUGUUAAGGUAACGGCUUACCAAGGCAACGAUGCGUAGCCGACCUGAGAGGGUGAUCGGCCACACUGGAACUGAGACACGGUCCAGACUCCUACGGGAGGCAGCAGUAGGGAAUCUUCCGCAAUGGGCGAAAGCCUGACGGAGCAACGCCGCGUGAGUGAUGAAGGUCUUCGGAUCGUAAAACUCUGUUAUUAGGGAAGAACAAAUGUGUAAGUAACUAUGCACGUCUUGACGGUACCUAAUCAGAAAGCCACGGCUAACUACGUG